CCUUGUGAAACUUGUUAGAAAUCACACUAGCUAUUACAAGGAGGAAGGUGCAGUUACUGCAUACUGAUAUCUGAUUUCUGAGAAUUUGGAGGAGCAUUGCCCAUAGUGAAAGAAAAAAUCAGUGAAAAAAUCCCCAAGUUUGUGCCUUCAGGGGGUUAGCAAUCCAGUUCUAGGUGUUCAGUGCUCAAGGCUGAUGCUUUCUUGAAGUUCUUUUCCAGAGUCUAAAAGUGGUUUGGGGGAAAUAAAUCUCAAAUUUCAGGACUCCUGUUUCAUGUCAGUGUUUACAAGUUGUACAUUUGCAGCCUUUCAGAAUAGCAAACCUUCAGCCUUUCACAUGAUGCUCCUGAGAACACACUUCUUGACAAUUUGUUUUUCAGCAACAUCCCUGGCUGGUAGGGGCUGCACAACAUCACUUUAUUAUGCUCUUCAGCUUGAUAGUUUUCCCUGCCACAUGGCCUCUAACACAUACUGCAAUGAUCUAGGAUCUGGCAGAUUGGAUCUGGGGAGACAAAAUGAUCAGACUUGCUGCUAAAUUGUGUUUCAGUUUGUGUGCCUUUUCAUUCAAUGCAUGGCAAGGUUUCAAAGCAUUUUUAAAAACUAGAGUCUCUCCAGAAUCCAUGGAUUAACAAAAUGUUGUGUCUUAUCUUCUCAGAACAAGUCUACAAUUACAAGCACUGCCUCAUGUGAUUAUAUUUCACAAAUAAAUAAUCAAUCUUUCUAGAAGGCAAAGUCAAGGCCUUCCUCUCCACAACCACUUUUUAAAAAAUACAUUAGAGACUGUGUGUUGUCUUCUUACAGUGAUUUUCCUUGCACUCAGGUACUGCUUCCUCAUGGAGUUCUUGUGGUCUUCUGCACACCACACCUUCUGACGAAUUCCCUUUCCUAACUUCUUGAGAGCUCUUCAGGUAGGUCAGGGUCAUGUGAGGUUGUGACAGAAGAUCCAGAGCUGGCAGAAAAAGGGCUAGAGGCUGCUGGGAGCUACAGAGUGAGAGCAUCCUUCUGAUCUCCACCUGCAGCUAAGAAACUAGAGAAACCUUACCUCAUAUACUUUAACCUCUAUUUCAUUGUCAAAGUCACAUGAAGAGCCUGCCUCUGUGGUACUUAUAUCUGAUUCAGAAAGCAAAAAGGUCACUGAAAAGCAUCAGCAUCACCCUCACACAAGACACAGAUAAUACAGCCUGAAGCACGCUCUCUUUCUCUACCACCCAGAAAUUCAGCCAAAUGAAAAGCAAAGCCUUCCCUCCAGGAAAACCAAACAAAAGCCAUGUGUCUUGAACCCUCUUUAUGUCCAGACAGGCAUAGGGAGUUUGCCAGAGCAAACAAGUUCCAGAGUCAAAGGAUUUCCGCUGAGAGCUCUCUGCAGCCAGUCCUCCUCAGACCGGCCCCGCACUUCCCAGCCAGCUCUUGCUGCUCAAACCGCGGCAAAGAGGCCUCCCGUUACAAUGACACAAUUUGACAGCUUUGCCAAGAGCACUUGGGGAAGUGCCAAAGAAAGAAGCACUGUGCUUUCCUGAAAAAAGCAGACACUCUGGGGAGGAAUACUUGAAAUACUCCUUCUAGUAAACCAGAAUGGUUGAGCGCCCACGCAGAGCAGCACUUGGGCCGCUAUCCCAAGGGAGAGCAGAGAACAGGCUCCACCAGGUUUCUCCCUCUCCAGAACGUGCCCCAUUCUCAGUAGCAUUCAAAGCAUCUUCACUGAAAAGUGGCCAUCUCUUUCUAUGCUUAGGUUCACUUUGAAGACAUCCUUUGCUGCUGAAUUUCAGCCUGAUAAUCUGCAUUUGCCUUUGCCCAAUCAGGCAUGCUUCCGAGCCCCGCUGUUCAACACUGGGCUUUCACUAGGCCUCCUCAUUAGCUAAAUGCAAGUCCCAAGCCUGGUUCCAGCUGCUCCUGUGGGGGAAGUUCCAAAGUCACCAAGAUCUCACAGUCCACAUCAAAAAGCACUGUGAGAAAAAUUGAGAUCUUCUUGAGAGAACACAUAAAAAUUGGGCAGCAUCAUCAGGGAGAUUUACACUGUGUUGAAUGAUACAAAGAUAGCCAUUUGACUCCAAAGAAAAUAUCGCCCUGAAUCACCAAUCUUGGGUAAGGGGACAAGGAUUCAAGAUAAUUAUAGUUUUAUAUCUCUAAACAGAGACAGAAGCCACAGCCUUGUUCAGGUUUUCCUGCUGUAGGGAAAACCCCAAGCAGGAGAGAAUACCAUUGCAAGCACUAGAGCUCUUCCUCCCACAGCCCACAGUGACAGGAUGCUUCCAGAGGCAGAGCUUUAAGGGACUUACACAGCAAAGUAGAACACCUGCACAUAUGAGUAUGGGUGUGUGGAAUGAGUGUCUGAAAUGUGUGCAUCAUGAGGUCUCCAGUAUAUUUAUUUGAGGCAUCAUUCAACUUCCAAAUUAGUAUCUUGCAGAAAGAUUGUCAUGCUAUCAAAACCUAAGUCAUGUACAAGCUCUGUUUUUAAGACAUUUGACUUCUGUCUGGUUUACACAACUCCCUCUGAUUUUACACAAAGGCAAGCAUAAUGGAAGGCUCUUCUUCCAUUGUUUUUAUGCACCAUAUCCUUUCUUUCUGUUUUUCUUUAAAACACAUUGGGCUUUUUAUUUAAUGCAGGAUUGUGCAUCCAGUGCCUUGCAGAUGGAAUGCAUAAUUGAACAUUAUAUUCCACUUUUGAGAGGCACACCAUAAAAUUAAUAUUUGAACCAUAUUCUUGCUGAUCCAGGGCAGAGAGCAAAAUAACACAAAGAAAAUAUUCUAAAGCAAAUGGUAGCCUUUCUGCAGAAUACCUCCCAGACAUUAGCAUAGUAAGAGAAAUACCAUUAAAAAAGGUGAGGUUUCAUUCACAGACACCAUUAUACUGUGCUACGUUGCUUUGGGUAAUUUUACAAUUAAGAGGUUGGAGUGGGGUGAUGAGGAGAAAACUAGGAGUGAGAAAAGACAAGAUUUCAAGCAGUGGUCCCUGUCCCCUCUCUCACCUCCCCGCACACACACAGAACUGUGCAGUGGGGAAACACAGAGCAAGAAACUAUAAGAGAUGAAACCACAUUGCAAAUGGAAUCACAGUGGGGUCAGUGUUUCACAGCAUGGAGGCUCUGGCUUCAUGAAAGGCAUUUGAAAUGCUUAGGACAAAAGAUGAUGGGUAACGUUUGAUGCAGUACUACUGUAAAGCCAA
rnacentral:lncRNA from 1 species